CCUACGGGUGACUGCAGUGGGGAAUAUUGGGCAAUGGAGGCAACUCUGACCCAGCAACGCCGCGUGAAGGAAGAAGGCCUUAGGGUUGUAAACUUAUGUUGUAAAGGAAGAAAAGAAUGACGGUACUUUACAAGAAAGCCCCGGCUAACUAUGUGCCAGCAGCCGCGGUAAGACAUAGGGGGCAAGCGUUGUUCGGAAUUACUGGGUGUAAAGGGCGUGUAGCCGGGAAGGCAAGUCAGAUGUGAAAUCUGGAGGCUCAACCUCCAAAUUGCAUUUGAAACUGUUUUUCUUGAGUACUGGAGAGGCAGACGGAAUUCCUUGUGUAGCGGUGAAAUGCGUAGAUAUAAGGAGGAACACCAGUGGCGAAGGCGGUCUGCUGGACAGCAACUGACGGUGAGGCGCGAAAGCGUGGGGAGCAAACAGGAUUAGAUACCCUUGUAGUC
rnacentral:rRNA from 1 species